AGUCAGUUUCCGUCGUCUUGUCUCGGUCAUCUCACGAAUCUCCACCGUAGUCCUUUGUUCUCCAUACUCAAUCCAAAAUAGCCCUUGUGUAUGAUGAUAUCAUCCAAAAGAGCCGUUGUAUGACAUCAUCACAAAUAAUCUCUGAAGAAACCAUAAAUCUAUCGAUCGUUGUCAAUUUCCGUCGUGUUCUGUCAUAUCUCGGCCACAACGUCAUCACCGUAACUUUGAAUCCCUUACGUAUAACUAUAAUUCCAGAUUCACCUUCUUUAAACAUCUCCUUGCCCUCUCUAAUGAUCGACUUAAU